UUGACCUCAAAUCAGGUAGGACUACCCGCUGAACUCAAGCAUAUCAAUAAGCGGAGGAAAAGAAACUAACAAGGAUUCCCCUAGUAACUGCGAGUGAAGCGGGAAAAGCUCAAAUUUAAAAUCUGGCAGUCUCUGGCUGUCCGAGUUGUAAUCUAG
rnacentral:rRNA from 1 species